UCGAGGAUCUUCGGCAAUGGACGCAAGUCUGACCGAGCGACGCCGCGUGUGGGAUGAAGGCCUUCGGGUUGUAAACCACUGUCAGAGGGGAUGAAAUGCGUGGGGGUUCUCCCCCACGUUUGACAUAUCCUCAGAGGAAGUGUGGGCUAAGUUCGUGCCAGCAGCCGCGGUAAGACGAACCACACGAACGUUAUUCGGAAUCACUGGGCUUAAAGGGUGCGUAGGCUGCGCAGCAAGUUGGGUGUGAAAUCCCUCGGCUCAACCGAGGAACUGCGCCCAAAACUGCUGUGCUCGAGGGAGACAGAGGUGAGCGGAACUUAGGGUGGAGCGGUGAAAUGCGUUGAUAUCCUAAGGAACACCCGUGGCGAAAGCGGCUCACUGGGUCUCUUCUGACGCUGAGGCACGAAAGCUAGGGUAGCGAACGGGAUUAGAUACCCCCGUAGUCC
rnacentral:rRNA from 1 species